UUUUUUGUCCCCUGUGGAGUCAAAUUUUCCUGAGUUAAGAUAUGCUCUUUUGGAUCUUCCUCAUAUGAUUUGGAUGAUCGAUAUCUCUCACCCUUAUACCGGUCUUAGAUAUUCUUUCUCCCUGAGCGUGUUGUUCUUUCACCCUUAUACCGGUGUUUUGAUCACAUGUCUCUGUUUUGAGUUUAUUACCUAGUAACCGGUAAUACCUCAUUUGUUGUUUCCUCAACUUAGUCCUUU
rnacentral:lncRNA from 1 species